rnacentral:lncRNA from 1 species
GUACAAUUCCACUCAUAUUAAUCUCUUUAAUCCUACUUUUGCUAUCUCUAAUUUUAGAUUUUUCAGUCCUUUUUACCCUCAACACCCUUGGCAUUGAAUGAAGUUCUUCCAGGCUUUAGGGAAGACUAUUGUCAGCUGAAAGACUUCUCUGAAUUGCCAGGUGUCCUUCCUUAGGACAGUUCCAGACAGGAUUCUGGACAGAACAGGACCCAGAAUGAACCAAUGAACCAACACUUACUUUCGUUUGGAUU